rnacentral:rRNA from 1 species
ACGUAGGGUGCGAGCGUUGUCCGGAAUUAUUGGGCGUAAAGAGCUCGUAGGCGGUUUGUCGCGUCUGCUGUGAAAACCUAAGGCUCAACCUUGGGCUUGCAGUGGGUACGGGCAGACUAGAGUGCGGUAGGGGUGACUGGAAUUCCUGGUGUAGCGGUGGAAUGCGCAGAUAUCAGGAGGAACACCGAUGGCGAAGGCAGGUCACUGGGCCGCAACUGACGCUGAGGAGCGAAAGCAUGGGGAGCGAGCAGG